rnacentral:rRNA from 1 species
UGAGCAAUCUGCCCUUCUCAUCGGAAUAAGCGUUGGAAACGACGUCUAAUGCCGAAUACGACCUCCUUUCGCAUGAUCGGAGGUGGAAAGCUCCGGCGGAGAAGGAUGAGCUCGCGGCCAUUUUCAGCUAGUUGGUGUGGGUAAUGGCCCACCAAGGCGACGACGGGUAGCCGGCCUGAGAGGGUGACCGGCCACACUGGGACUGAGACGCGGCCCAGACUCCUACGGGAGCA